rnacentral:lncRNA from 13 species
UUUUGGAGACUACUUCAUCCACUACAUGUUUGGGUGCUUUGUGACACCACAUCAGAUCAUCGAUACAUUCUUCUUAGAUAGGCCACUUUGAACCAGUUACACAUUCUUCCUGGACCUUUCCAUGAAAUGCAGGAGGUUGCAUUUCUCUACAUCGCUAAUGCAUAUUUAGCAUUUUUUGGGUGAUAUCUCAAGGGAAAUAGAAGUCCAAUAAAUAUUGAGAGGGAAUUUGAGGAACAUUGGUGAGUUAUGAAUAUUUCCACCUGUUCAUCUGUCCGUUAAUCUCUGUCGAGAAGAAAAGCAAACAAGAAUGCAGAUAAAAGGCAUGCAUUGCAUUCAUUGACAUUGAAGAGCAGAGACAUAGAGCCACCAUCCUCUCAACUCUAGGGACCAUCCUCCUGCCACAUUGCCCUCUCUUUCUAGAAACUUCAUAUCUAAGCAGACAAGAAAGGCUAAAUACUUAGCUGGUGCCCCUAUAUAACUUGAGACACUAAUUUUAGAGGACCAGUUUACUCUGGGAACUUUAAGCAAAGGCUUGACAACCUCAUAUGCAUUCCCUUCCUUUUCUUCUUUAUUCCCUGUACACUCUGCCCUUUCUUCCAACUUUGCUUUCUUUUUCGCUGCCUCUUUUUUUUCUUUCUUUCUUAAUCCUGUCCUUCCCCUUGUUUCUCUUUCCUCUCAGGACUGGAAAGAGCAUUGAAUUAGGAGCCAUAAGACCUGGUUUGCUACUCCAGCUCUGUCCUCACAACAGUGAAAUCUACAUUCUUUCUUGGCUUCGAAUUCCUUAGUGAAGCAAGCAGAGAACAUCAGACUGCAGCAAAGGACUAGGCAAUGACCUCUUAAAAAUCUGCUGUCUCCUUGGUUUGUGUUUUCCAUAGGUUGGGAACAGUACAUGUUGCAUGUUUGUGUAUAUUUUUUUCUUAAUUUUGGAGUAAUGAAUGUACGAAAGAAGCCCUUCUUUGUGACCAUUCUGCAUGCCAAGAGAUAUGAUGGCAUUUCCUCUAGAGACUUUCAGAAGAAAAGAUUAAAUAAAAGAUUUAUAAUAUGCA